CAAUAGCGUAUAUUAAAGUUGUUGCAGUUAAAAAGCUCGUAGUUGGAUUUGUGGUGUACGCCGGCGGCCCGUCGCAAGACGGAGCUUGUUUGCGUCGCCAUCCUUGGGUGGAUCCUGUGUGGCAUUCAGUUGUCGUGCAGGGGAUGCCCAUCGUUUACUGUGAAAAAAUUAGAGUGUUCAAAGCAGGCUUAUGCCGUUGAAUAUAUUAGCAUGGAAUAAUAAGAUAGGACCUUGGUACUAUUUUGUUGGUUUGCGCACCAAGGUAAUGAUUAAUAGGGACAGUUGGGGGUAUUCGUAUUCCAUUGUCAGAGGUGAAAUUCUUGGAUUUUUGGAAGACGAACUACUGCGAAAGCAUUUACCAAGGAUGUUUUCAUUAA
rnacentral:rRNA from 1 species